UACGUAGGGUGCAAGCGUUGUCCGGAAUUAUUGGGCGUAAAGAGCGUGUAGGCGGCUCGAUUAGUCCGCUGUGAAAGUCCAGGGCUCAACCCUGGAAUGGCGGUGGAUACUGUCGAGCUAGAGUCCGGAAGGGGCGAGUGGAAUUCCUGGUGUAGCGGUGAAAUGCGCAGAUAUCAGGAGGAACACCUAUGGCGAAGGCAGCUCGCUGGGACGUGACUGACGCUGAGACGCGAAAGCGUGGGGAGCAAACAGG
rnacentral:rRNA from 1 species